rnacentral:tRNA from 1 species
UAAGUAUUAGUGUAAGAAGCAUAAAGAACUUUGAAUUCUAAGGAAAUAGUU